GAUGAACGCUGGCGGCGUGCCUAACACAUGCAAGUCGAACGAAGCACCUUACCUGAUUCUUCGGAUGAAAGUUUGGUGACUGAGUGGCGGACGUGUGCGUAACGCGUGGGUAACCUGCCCUGUACAGGGGGAUAACAGCUGGAAACGGCUGCUAAUACCGCAUAAGCGCACGAGGAGACAUCUCCUUGUGUGAAAAACUCCGGUGGUACAGGAUGGGCCCGCGUCUGAUUAGCUGGUUGGCAGGGUAACGGCCUACCAAGGCAACGAUCAGUAGCCGGUCUGAGAGGAGGAACGGUCACAUUGGAACUGAGACACGGUCCAAACUCCUACGGGAGGCAGCAGUGGGGAAUAUUGCACAAUGGGGGAAACGCUGAUGCAGCAACGGCGCGUGAGUGAAGAAGUAGUUCGGUAUGGAAAGCUCUAGCAGCAGGGAAGAUAAUGACGGUACCUGACGAAGAAGCGCCGGCUAAAUACGUG
rnacentral:rRNA from 1 species